UGCCGAGGGAGCGGUCGUCCUACAAGAAGGCCUUCGUAGACACUGGCGACCCAGCGCAGGCCGAGGUCGGUACGGAGCUUAAGGAGGGGAGGCCCGAG
rnacentral:SRP_RNA from 1 species